rnacentral:rRNA from 1 species
UGGGGAAUUUUGGACAAUGGGCGAAAGCCUAAUCCAGCAAUGCCGCGUGUGUGAAGAAGGCCUUCGGGUUGUAAAGCACUUUUGUCCGGAAAGAAAUCCUUGGCUCUAAUACAGUCGGGGGAUGACGGUACCGGAAGAAUAAGCACCGGCUAACUACGUGCCAGCAGCCGCGGUAAUACGUAGGGUGCAAGCGUUAAUCGGAAUUACUGGGCGUAAAGCGUGCGCAGGCGGUUUGCUAAGACCGAUGUGAAAUCCCCGGGCUCAACCUGGGAACUGCAUUGGUGACUGGCAGGCUAGAGUAUGGCAGAGGGGGGUAGAAUUCCACGUGUAGCAGUGAAAUGCGUAGAGAUGUGGAGGAAUACCGAUGGCGAAGGCAGCCCCCUGGGCCAAUACUGACGCUCAUGCACGAAAGCGUGGGGAGCAAACAGGAUUAGAUACCCUGGUAGUCCACGCCCUAAAACGAUGUCAACUAGUUGUUGGGGAUUCAUUUCCUUAGUAACGUAGCUAACGCGUGAAGUUGACCGCCUGGGGAGUACGGUCGCAAGAUUAAAACUUAAAUGAAUUGACGGGGUCAUAGCUGUUUCCU